rnacentral:tRNA from 1 species
UUCCACAGUAGCUCAGUGGUAGAGCUAUCGGCUGUUAACCGAUCGGUCGCAGGUUCGAAUCCUGCCUGUGCAGCCA